UUUUUUUUUGUAAACCUGAUGAACAAUUAACCCCCGUGCUUUUGUACAGUUUGUAAGCUGGAGUUAGAUGUUCCUGCCCUUUUCAACUCGGUGGUGACUGUCAUAUUUUAUUUGAAACAAGGCAAAUGGCUUGCCAUUCGUUUAAUUUAGAGUGAAAUAUUGUAACAAAUCCCAACCAAGGGAAAUAACAUCACUCUCGCCGGCUGCUUGAGCUCACUGUGCAUUACAGAAGCCAAGUGAUUAGCCCCCACCAGCACCCACAAACUUAUUUCGAACUAGCACAUCAAAUGGGCUAUAAAUUUUCAUAGGAAAGGCUGCAUGACCGUGACAGAUUUUGAUUCUGACAUUUGGGACCCGCGAGGAAAUAGCCUAUCCAAGGUGGUGUCGACUUACUAGCCAGUCAACAAACGAUUCUGCCUACCAGCCAUUGGAUUGACAUCCAACAUCUGUCGUGUAUCUUCUAUCUCUUGUCUUCUUCUUCCUCCAGCCGCCCAAACCAAACCACCCCGUCGGCUCCGCCUGCUCCCGCCUCCCAUGGCUAGCUGCGCCUCUGCCGCCCUACCGUACGUACCCUCCAACGUUGGCCAGUCCCUCCCUCUAUUCCCCCACACGUCAUGUUAUUCUCCGGCGACGUCGGCCCCAACACGCACCCGCGCCCGAACCAGUCAACCCUCGUACUCCCCUCCGCCUGCGACUGGACCGGCGCAUCUUCAACGGCUCCUGUUCGUUUCGUCCGAGGCCUCGCCGUCGUCCUCCGCCUUGCGGCCUUGGUUUGCUCGCCGUGCACGGUGCGCCGCCCUCUUGUGUUGUCAACAUCGUCAACAACCGAGAGCAACAAGGAGAUUAGACUAAUUUUAGAUUAGAUCAGUGUCAUCUGUAGCUCCCUGGUAAUGAACUGAAAAAGAGACUGAUCACCGCUGAGGACAAGGCGGCACAGGUUGUGUUGAAUAAACCAAGAUCUUACCAUGACUGCAAUUUUAGAGAGACUGUACGUGGAGAGGAUGACAGUAGGGACCCACCAGCGUCAUGGCAGUACGCAAGCAAGCUCCUCUAUAGUACAAACCCAAAAAUAUGGUCCCUCCUAAUGGUUGUACAUCUGGGGCUCACGCCAUUGUCAACGUAGUCAAUAAACGAGAAUUACACUACGAGCGGCUGACACCAGGGACCCAGCAAGUCGCGCAGUUUUUUGUGUGGAGCAAGCAGUUGUUAUUUGUACUAGUUUUAGCGACGGAUCAGGGUAACAACGGGGCUGUGCGGGGGCUGUGGCCCGUCUAUCCAGGGUUUUAUUUAUGUUUACCACAUCAUGAGCCCAGUUGUGUUUUUUUCUUGCUGAAAAUGGCUAGCCCAGUUCUAUUUUUUUUAAGAAAUACCCUAACAAGGCCUACUUGCUUUAUCGGCCCUGCUGCGCUGCAAAUCUUUCAAGACGAGGAGAAUUUCAUUUGGUUUGCCCAGAAAUGGGUUGUACAUUUUUAAAACACAUCAAAUCGGGAAUUAGUUUUGUUGAGGAUAUAACCCUUAAGGUCACCCGCCAGGAGGGGCCGGGUUACUCAUAAUGGUCACCACGCGGAGCCCAGUACCGAGCUUGAAGACGGCGGGUCAAUGAUGGGCCUAAGACCCGGAGAUGGCUUAAGGCCCGUAGUGAUAAACCGCCGUAUGGCAAGACUUGUAGUGUAAGGCAAGAAUAGUUGAGAGUCCGAGCCGGACACUCUUAUGAGCCGGCUGGGACUCUGAGGGCCGCUGGGCGUCAACCUCUCUAUAUAAAGGGAUUACCCGGCAGCGGUUUAGGGACAAGUAAGAUCUCAUCGAGAGCCAGGCAUAGCAAUUAAGCUCCCUGGUCAUCGAAACCAUAAUCAAUACCACCUCAACUGGACGUAGGCUUUUACCUUCACCGUAAGGGGCCAAACCAGUAUAACCCUCGUGUUCCUUGUCCCGUUUAACCCCUUUAAGCUUCCUAGCUGCGAUGGCUCCAUGACUAAGUCCUAGCUCGAGGACAUCUGCCGUGACAAUUCCACGCCAGUUGGCACCCACCGUGGGGCUGGCGCACGGUGGAUUUGAGUUCUUGAAGGGCAGCUUCGAAGGGCUCAAGGGAUACGCUGUGGGCCGGAUGACCAAGAGUCGUCGCGGCAAGCUCUACAUCGACGAUGCAACCUGGGGCCCCGACGCCGGCUCAAUCGAGUACGGGUACCGGGUCCCCUUUGGCGGAAUCCACGUCUUCAUCGAACCAAAGAGAACAUAGCUGUCGAUACCCACUUGAUUGGCACACUGCCGAGCUCAUUGGGGAGUUUUCUUUGAUCAUAUUUGAAUCAUAGCUCAACCCCCUUUGGGAACCGACGUGGAUCGUAUUCGAAUCAGCGUCGUUAAACAACUUUUAAGGUCAUUUGGGGGCUUCCUGUUCAAACAUGGGUCGUAUUCGAACCAAAGAGAACAUAGCUGUCGGUACCCUCUUGAUCGGCAUCGCCAAAUCCACUGGGGGCUAUAUGAUCGCAUUCGAAUCUUAGCUUAACCCCUUUGGGACGGGUCUCUGGUCGUAUUCGACCUGGAAGCCCCUAAGUUUUGAUUUUUUGGAUCUGCAACAAGUUCUUCCGAUUGUAUCAAUAGUGUGCACGGCGGUUCUUACUCCGCCGGCUUAACUUUGAUUCACAGUGUUAGUCACACACAAUAAGCAUUAUCAAAACUGGUAAACCGGAGUUGAGGUACCAACCUCAUUAUCCGGGUUACAUAAACUGGAAGUAUACUUGAAGGCCUGUAAGUAUGCUAUUACGGUGAUUUAGAUUCAUAUUCCGGGUUAUAUGUAUGAGACUAUGAUUCUCAGUGCGGUAAGCCGCCUAGAGACUUGUGACUUGUUUUUCGAUGCAGGAUGGUUAAAGACAGCUAUUCGAGCUUAAGGAAAAUAAAUGAUCAAUUAUGACCCGGAGGAAUAUAAGGAAGCAACUUCAAUGGAGUUAAGCAUUCAACACGUGCACGAUGGCACGACAAAGUUAAAGUGUUGGUCCUACUCUAUUACAAGACUCCCCGAGUCCAAAAGGGUGAAGCAUUAUUUAACAAGCAUAAUCAUGGGCCGCCUAAAGAGUCAAGAUGCUUGCCGGGUCGAAGCUUCCGGCUCAUCCCUCUCCGCUCCUCCGGCUAUUCCUAUGACCUGGAAGGUUGACGAUUUCCAGUCAAUGCCGCUCAAAGCUUCAAAUUGAGCCUCCUCGUCAAUUAACCCGGCCGGGUCAAUUUCUGGGGCAAAGGUGUGCUUACGAGUCGGCGGGACCAAGCUAAUGGCUUCAUAACGCGGAGUGGGGAUCCUCUGAUUCUCUGCGUCGUAGCCCGGUUGGUACUUGGUCAGGUCGGUGUCAUUCCCAAUCAGGGUGGCCACCGGGCGCACGAUCUUCACACAGGUAGCAAAGUCUUUCUGGUCGAAGGAGGUGUCAUCUUCCUUCAGGCUGGGGUAUCCAAGUGCAAUGUCAGCCGGGUCUAGCUCUGGAAGGAAAGCCUUGGCCCGGCUCAGAGCAGCUAUGGCUCCGGCUCUUGCAGAGGCUCGUCGCAGCUCUUGGAAACGCUGAGGAAGAACGGCAAGCCGGCGAAGUACGUCCGCCAGGUGAGUCAGAACCUCAUUGGAUAGGGCCACAACGGCCAAGGCGCGCUGUGACCCGGUGUAGAGUUGCUCCACCAGGGUGUACACGACCUUCAGCUUGGUCAGCACGUUCUGAUUGAGGUUGGCGCUUCUGGGACCUGUUUAACAAAGUAAGAUAAGCCGUUAGCAAUGAUGGGAGUUAUGAGACAUAAAGACUGUAAACUUGUUCAAAGCCUGCAGAAUGACUUACCGAAUAUUGCGGCGACCAUCUGUGAUACAUGGCGUUUUAAGCCGGAGAGUUUGGCGGUUCUCUCCGUCAGAGCCUUCUCCGCCUGUUCGGCCCGGCUUACCAGAGCAGCCUUCUCUUCGGCCCAAGUCUUCCUUUCAGCUUCAAACUUCUUCUUCAGCUUCUCUUGAGCAGCAACACUGGAUUCAAAUUUAGCGUUGGCCUUCCGGGUCUCAGUUUCCUGAGUCUUCAGGUGGUUCUUCAGCUCAGAGAUAUCAGCCUCAAAUUUCUUGCAAGCAGCCUAUACAAUUUCCGGGUUAUAGUAUGAAUAAUUAUUAUGCAACUUUAAAGUCCCAACCACUAUCCAAGCAAAGACACUUGGCACUUGGGGGCUAAUGCAUGUCGAAAGUUUCUAUCUACAAAAUUACCGGUUCAUGAAAGUAAGCCGGAAGUUAAGUCUACAACAUAUUCUAUCAUAAGUAGUAGACUUGGGGGCUAGAGUAUGGUAAAGAUGACUAUGCAGUAAGCAAUAAAGUGGUACCUCAGACUUCUGCUAUAUCUGCUUCACCAUGUCAAUCUCCAGGUCCCGGCUGCUGUGCACCUGAUUGACAUAGCCAGAGAUGAUAUCUCCAAUGCUCGGGUUAGCGUAGUUGGUGAUGUCCAGCUUGCCCCUGCGGCGCUCUAGCAACUCUUCCUUGGCAGAGCACUUAGCCAGCGCAGUGGGUCUCCCCGGCUCGACAAACUCCGUCCGGGUGAUUACCACGUCCGGGUCAUCGACCGGCUGAGCCGGGCUGGAGAUGUCCGGGUUGGUGGAAAUCUCCAUGGCUGGCUCGUCAGUUGGAGCGGUGGCUUCAGGAGCAGACGCAGCUGGCGGCUCUUGAGCUGAAACCUCCGGCUCAGUCAAGACCGGCUCUUCGACCGGUUUAUUCAUCUUCACCCUCUUGCUGAGUUUUGCCUGGGCACUGAAAGGACAAAAGGUUAGUACAAGAGUAUGAGUAAAGAUAAGCACAACAAGAGAUGAUCAUCAUUACCCGGGUACGGUCUUGAAAGCCAGCAGGUUCGAUUGCAUAGAGUCACCAGAGGAACGGUGAAGUUUCCUGAUAAUUUGAAUCAGAAGAAUUGAGCGGUUGACGUAUAACGCCCGCCAAAGGAUGAAAAGGAUAUAAGUUGGAGAUAACCUCGGUCCGGCGCUUCCUUGACGCUUCAGGUAAGCCGGAGGAGAGGUCUGCAUCCUUGUUGGUCCGGGUGUGCCGCCGGCUCUCAUGAAUCUAUUGCUUCAAAAGAAAUUGAGGAUCUUGAUAAGCUAAAGGAUGUGAAAAUCUUACUUUCCGGGUUACUCUUCAGACUUUCAGCCUUGGCAAGGGCUCCGAGUCGGAGGAAAGUGUCAUUACCUCUUCAGUCACCGGGUUACUUGCUCCGGUGUCAUCCUACUGAUGAUCAGUAUCAAUAAGGUGGAUAGGAAUAAACAAGAAACAAAACAAGAGCUUACAGGUUCAGGGGUUACCUCUGACUCGGAGCUGUCACUUACUUGAAGCAGCUCUGAGGCAGUAGGCCUGCUUCCCUUCUUGCGGGGAGCGGCUCUCCUUGCGGCUUUCUUAGCCUUUCUGGCUUUUUUAGCCGCCUCGUGGUCAUACUUGACCUUCCAGAAUUUAUCAUCAGCCUAAAAAAUACAAUGAAGACUUCUUAAGGUUCAGAUGAAAACUAUCUAAGGAGAAAAUAAGGUGUUCAGAUAAGUGGCUUACCGCUGGGGCCGGGUUAGUCUUGCAGAAGGGACUUAAGCCGGUCCUCCCGCAGUCUGUCAAGCUCUCAUUCAAGAGGGACUUGGUCAUGUCGUCAACAACGUCUUCAGGUAGAUCGUUGCGGCUGUGUCGCAGAGGGUCAUCUUUCCGGCCCGUGUAAUCACACAUUAAGCCGGGGCGGCGGCUUAAGGGGAUCACCCGCCAGGAGAUCCAGACCCGGACCAGAUCAAUGCCGUUGAGGCCAUUUCCUAGGAGAGCCUUAAUUUUGUUGAUGGUGGGGAUCAGAGGUUGACGUUCGGCUUGAGUUAGCUUAUCCGGCAGGGAGUGACUUGGCUCCAGACGCAGGGCACGAAAGCCGGGUUGAGGGCUCUCGUCAGCUGGCGAAGUAUCCUGUCAGUAGAACCAUGUCUGGUUCCAGUCCUUUGGAUGGCUGGGCGGCUCAGCAUAAGGAAAGAGGCAGUCUCUACGGCGUUGAAUGGAGAUUCCACCAAGUUCCAGGCUCGGCCCGUUGGCGCACUCGUUCUGGCGGUUCAGAUAAAAGAGCUCUCUAAAGAGCAGCAGGCUGGGCUCUUCUCCAAGAUAGACUUCGCAGAAUACUUGGAAGUUGCAUAUAUUUGACACGGAAUUGGGUCCUAUGUCUUGCGGCCGCAGAUCAAAGAAAUUUAGCACGUCUCUAAAGAAUUUUGAGCCGGGCGGUGCGAAGCCCCGGCUCAUGUGAUCAGCAAAAAUCACCACCUCACCAUCCCUUGGUUGCGGUCUCUCCUCCGACGGGUCAGGGGCGCGAUAAGACAUGAUUUCCUUCUUGGGAAGGUAACCCGUCUUUACGAAAUCAGCUAGAGUGUCGUCAGUGACAUUGGAUCUCAUCCAGUUGCACGUGAUGGGUGCCUUGGGAGCUUUGGGAGGCAUUGUGAAAGAUGAAGCCUAUGACAAAAGAAAAAUGUCCAGUUCAAUUAUAAGCCGGCAGACGUCUACAGUUUAAUACUCAAUGGCGGCUUAUGAGAGGGGCCUAAUGACAUAUGGUUAAGUGCAUCGGGUUAUCUAAGCCGCUGAAGGUAUCAAGAGUAAUUCAAAUUAUCUACAGCUUUAUCAUAAAUGAGCCGGAAAAUUUUACGGCGCGUGGCUUCUUUUGAGCCGGAAAAUUUUACGGCGUGUGGCUUCUUUAAGCCGAAAAUGUGAGCCGCCAUAGCUCAGCUGAUGCAAUUUUUGACUAAGUGUGGUGAAAACAAGUUUCACAGAUCGCAGUAAUUAUUUUGGAUCAAACGGUUGGCUAAAAGGAAAAAUUUCUAGACCUAGAACAGACACAGAAAAAGUUCGAGGGUUUGAACGAAGCCUUUAUGCAAUGAAAGGGGAUCUAUGUACAUUGGGAAUGGGAGUGAAACAGCUACUGCAGCAGUUCUGUACAGUCUAAAGAUCAAGAAAAGGUGGUAAUAAUGAAAUCUAUCAAGGAGCUCGCGAUGAACAGCGAUGAACACGGGAAGAACAGGAAAGAACCCUAAUGCAGAUCUAUGCUACGGAGUGGCAAGGGCUUACGGGUGCUGGAGAGUUGCGGAGGUCGCCGCCGUUUCUUUGGUCACGUCAGGUUGAUGCAGCGGCCGGAGUCGGGGAAGACUAGGAGACCCGCGGCGGCGGCGGCAGUGGAGCUCGGGCGGCAGCAUAGUGGCGAGAGGAGGAAGAAGAUGGAGGCGACGAGUGACCAGAGGCUCAUGGGCCGGGCUAUUUAUAAGAUGAGGCUCAUAAGUGGGCGCGAGAAACGAGGAGGCCACGGCGUGGUUAUCUCGCCAUAAAAACGCCUCGAUUUUCAGGACGGCAAUUAAAGAUAAGAUCCGUUGCGGAUAUGGUGGAGUAAAAAAUGGACUUAAUGGAAGAUGACAUCAUGGCGGGUUACCAGAAAUCCAGAAGAUGACGUCACGGCGGGUUAAAACCUUCGCACAGAUGUAAGCCGGAAAUUUUCUUUCAAGAGGAUUGAAGAUUGACAUGAACCGGUUCAAAUCAAUCUGGGGCCUAAUGUUGAGGAUAUAACCCUUAAGGUCACCCACCAGGAGGGGCCGGGUUACUCAUAAUGGUCACCACGCGGAGCCCAGUACCGAGCUUGAAGACGGCGGGUUAAUGAUGGGCCUAAGACCCGGAGAUGGCUUAAGGCCCGUAGUGAUAAACCGCCGUAUGGCAAGACUUGUAGUGUAAGGCAAGAAUAGUUGAGAGUCCGAGCCGGACACUCUUAUGAGCCGGCCGGGACUCUGAGGGCCGCUGGGCGUCAACCUCUCUAUAUAAAGGGAUGACCUGGCGGCGGUUUAGGGACAAGUAAGAUCUCAUCGAGAGCCAGGCAUAGCAAUUAAGCUCCCUGGUCAACGAAACCAUAAUCAAUACCACCUCAACUGGACGUAGGCUUUUACCUUCACCGUAAGGGGCCGAACCAGUAUAACCCUCGUGUUCCUUGUCCCGUUUAACCCCUUUAAGCUUCCUAGUUGCGAUGGCUCCACGACUAAGUCCUAGCUCGAGGACAUCUGCCGUGACAAUUCCACGACAAGUUUCAAUUUUUUUCAUUACAAGAUCUUAAAUUCCAUUGAUUUUUAUGCGUGGACAAUUAUUUGGAUUUUAUAUUUAUAUAAAUUAUUUUUCAAAAUAGUGUGAAUGUGAAUCGAUAUUUCUGGAUUAAAAACAGUUGACCGCACCAAAAUAUGCAAAAUUUCAUAUACUUUUUAAUCGUGGCCACAAUAUGGGGUGUAAUGCUAACAAAAAGAAGAUGGGCUCCAAAAAAAUUCUUAAGAAUUAGCAAAUGGGCUGUACAUUAUUAGAAAUAAUGGCAGAUGGGUUGUAUGCUGUUUUCCACAGAUUUGAGGCUGACUUGUGCGCCUACUACAGGUUGACGCGUAUGCUUUCAUAAAAAAAGGUUGACGCACACGCAACGCCCUGUCAACUUAGUCAACACACGAGAGCAGUGACUGUUGAAUGUCCAUCCAACGGCUGGCGUGCUUCUUCAAUCUCUGCUCUUCAUGCUCCAGCCGCUCAAACAAGCGCCGGCGGGACUGCCUGCUCCCUCCUCCCGCGGCCGGCUAUGCUGCCGCGCAGGCCUCACGGCCCCACCGUACUCCCAUCGCUGGCCUAGCCAUCCCUCUACUCACCCACACAUGUUGUUAUUCUCUGACGAUGGCAGACGAACCAGUAAACCCUCGUACUCCUCCGUGUGGGAGACAACUGCCGAGUAUUCCCUAGCUCCAUGUCGUUCCCUUCCUAGGCCUCGCUGUCGUCCACCGCCCUGGUGCUCUCGGCGCGGCCUGGUCAACGUGAUCAAUGAACGACAUCCAUCGGAAGUGGACUGUACGUGGAGAGGCUGACAGCUGGGUCCACGGCCGCACGCAAGGAAAUGCCUCCUUAUUACGCGCAAAAUAAUGAUUCCUCCACCUGACAGCUAGGACCCACAGGAAGGGCCUCUGUAUUUCGCGAAAAAAUGUUCCCCCCGCUGACAGGUCGGACCCACCAGCUAUAUCUUCGCACGCAAGGAAGUGCCUCCUUAUUACGCCCAAAAAAAUGAAUACCCCCUGCUAGCUGGGACCCACCAUAUUGUUGGGCUAACUUGUGGGCCUACUAAGUUGAGGGGACGGAGGGCUUUGUCAACUUAGUCAAUACUCCAGUGACCGUAUGAUGUCCAUCCAACGGCCAUAGUGCUUCUUCAACCUCUGGUAUUCUUGCUCCAGCCGCCCAAAGCAGCGCCGGUCGUGCCGCCUGCUCCUGCCUCCCGUGGCCGGCUGUGCUACCGCGGAGGCCUCACCGCCCCCAUACUACUCCCACCACAGGCCAUGCCAUCCCUCCACUCACCCACACCCCCUGUUAUUCUGCGGCGACGGCAGCCUCACACCGCAGCCGAACCAGUGAAUGCUCGUACUCCUCUCCAUGUGGGCAUCCACUGCCGUGUCUUGCUCGGCUCCGCGUCGUCCCCUUCCUAGGCCUCGCCGUCGUCCACCGUCGUGGUGCUCUCGGCGCGGCGUGGUCAAUGUGGUCAACGACCGAGUUCCAUCGGAAGAAUACUGUACGUGGAGAGGCUGACAGCUGGGUCCACAGCAGCCGCAAGGAAGUGCCUCCUUAUUACGCGGAAAAUAAUUAUUCCUCCACCUGACAGCGGGGACCCACCAGACGGGCCACCAGUAUUUUGCGAAAAAAAUUGUUUCCCCCUGACUACUGGGACCCACCGGACGGGCCACCGUAUUUCGCGAAAAAAAGUUCCCCCCGCUGUCAGCUCGGACCCACCGGAAGUGCCUCCUUAUUACGCACAAAAAAAUGAAUACUCCCCCGGCUAGCUGGGACCCACCUUGGUGGGAGGCUGACUUGUGGGCCAACUAAGUUGACAGGAAUGAAGGGCUUUGUCAACUUAGUCAAUAUGAACGAUUCUAGCUCCAGUGACCGUACGAUGUCCAUCCAACGGCCGUAGUGCUUCUUCAACCUCUGGUCUUCUUGCUCCAGCCGCCAAAAGCAGCGCCGGUCGUGCCGCAUGCUCCUGCCUCCCAUGGCCGGCUGUGCUGCCGCAGAGGCCUCACCGCCCCCUACUAUUCCCACUGCUGGCCAGGCCCUGCGGCGACGGCAGCCUCACACCACAGCCGAACCAGUGAACCCUCGUACUCCUCUCCGCGCAGGCUUCCACUUCCACGUCUUCCCCGGCUCCGCGUCGUCCCCUUCCUAGGCCUUGCCGUCCUCCACCACCGUGGUGCUCUCUGCGUGGCGUGGUCAACGUGGUCAAGGAACGACUUCCAUCGGAAGAGUACUGUACGUGGAGAGGCUAACAGCUGGGUCCACGGCCACAACCUAGUUUUUUUGUGAUUUGCCAAGUAAGUCGCUUUGUCAGGCCUGUUGGGCUGCAAAUCUUUCAAGAUGAGGAGAGCUUUCAUUCAGCUGGCCGAGAAAAUGGCCCAUCAGUAAUGAGAAAUGGGUUGUACAUUUUUAAAACACAUCAAACCGGCAAUUAGUUUCAAAUAUCUUUUUUUUCAUUUCAAGAUUUUAAAUUACAUUAAUUUUUAUGCAUGGAGAAUUUGUUGGAUUUUAUAUUGAUAUACAUUUAUUUUUAAAAUCAGUUUGAAUGUGAGUCGAAAUUUCGGGAUUAAAAACAGUUCGGACCGCACCGAAAUAUGCAAAAUUUCGUAUAAUUUUUUAACCGUGGCCACAAUAUGGGCUGUAAUGCUCAUAAAAAGAAUAUGGGCUCCAAAAAAAACCUUAAGAAUUAGCAAAUGGGCUGUAAAUUAUUAGAAAUAAUGGCAGAUGGGCUGUAUGCUGUUUUCCAUAGAUUUGAGGCUUUCUUAAAAAAAGGUUGACGCACAAGCACUGACUGUUGGAUGUCCAUCCAACGGCCGUCGUGCUUCUUCAAUCUCUGCUUUUCCUGCUCCAGGCGCUCAAACAAGCGCCGGCGGGACUGCCUGCUCCCUCCUCCCCGCGGCCGGCUGUGCUGCCUCGCAGGCCUCACCGCCCCACCGUACUCCCAUCGCUGGCCUAGCCAUCCCUCUACUCACCCACACCUGCUGUUAUUCUCCGGCGACGGCAGACGAACCAGUAAACCCUCGUACAGUCGUACUCCCCUCUGCGUGGGAAACAACUACCGAGUCUUCCCUGCCUCCGUGUCGUCCCCUUCCUAGGCCUCGUCGUCGUCCACUGCGGUGGUGCUCUCGGCGCGGCGUGGUCAAUGUGGUCAACGACCGACUUCCAUUGGAAGAGUACUGUGCGUGGAGACGCUGACAGCUGGGUCCACGGUCGCAGCAAGGAAGUGCCUCCUUAUUACGCGCAAAAUAAUUAUUCCUCCACCUGACAGCGGGGACCCACCGGACGGGCCACCGUAUUUCACGAAAAAACGUUUCCCCCUGACUGCUGGGACCCACCAGCUACACCUUCGCACGCAAGGAAGUGCGUCCGGGCAAAAAAACGAUUCGCCCCCCUGACUGCUGGGACCCACCAGCUACAUCUUCGCACGCAAGGAAGUGCCUGACAGUCGGGACCCACCUGGUCGAAGCGUACGUAGCGUUGUCAUUCUGGUCGCGAACGUGUACGUACAUAUAUAUUGGUGGAUGUAGAGGCGCGCACAUGUCGUAGUAGAGGCGCGCACGUAGCAUGUACACGUACGUACAGCAGCCAGGGUGCAAGAAAGAAAAUAUGGCCACGUAUGUGUACAUACGGGCGGGGUCUCGAACGCCUACUCGCGCAUAUGUACGGCGAGGGCUCGUUGACAUGGCUGGGUCGGAACGGAGAAACAGCGUCGUCGUCAUGUUCAUGGGGAGGCAACGGAAUGCGUCGUGUUCAUGGGGAGGCAACGGAAUGCGUCGUGUUCAUCGGGAGGCAACAGAACGCGUGGGAGCCAACCGGCUGGGUCGGAACGGAAUGCAUGGUCGUGUUCAUCGGGAGGGCUUGGACGGAACAGGCGAUGGAAACAAGGCCUGGCGUACCGCAGAAUGGAGGAAAUAGCCUUGUGUUCGACCGGCCAUGUUCGAAACGGGAUCCUAUUCAUCGGGAGGGGUCUGGCGUAUCGCAAAACGGACAAACCGGACCUCCUACGGUUGAAACGGGGGUCCUGUUGAUCGGGAGGGGUGUGGCUUACCGCAAAACGCACGAAACGGACCUCCUACGGUCGAAACGGUGAUCCUGUUGAUCGGGAGGGGUGUGGCGUACCGCAAAACGGACGAAACGGACCUCCUACGGUCGAAACGGGGGUCCUCUUCAUCGGGAGGGGUGUGGCGUACCGCAAAACGGGACUCCGCGGGAUACUAUUCAUCUCCACCGUCGACCUCCUCCAGCCCCCACGGGCUACCGUCGACCUCCUCCAGCCUCCACGGGCUCCUGUUCAUCCAGCCUCCACCGCACGCUACUCCACCGGCUACUGUUCAACCACCCCUCCACCGUCUACUGUUCAUCUAGCCCUCCACACCACGGGGUCCUGUUCAACCACCCCUCCACGGGCACCCCUCCACCGUCUACUGUUCAUCCAGCCCUCCACACCACGGGGUCCUGUUCAUCCAGAGGCAACGCCACCGCUCACUGUUCAUCCAACCCCCCACCCCCCGCAACGCUCACUGUUCAUCCCAGAGGCAGCAUCGAUCAGCUUCAGUUAGCAGCAGUAGCGAAGGAAUUGCUCGAUCGGGUUCUGUCGUGGAAUUGUCACGGCAGAUGUCCUCGUGCAAGGACUUAGUCGUGGAGCCAUCGCAGCUAGGAAGCUUAAAGGGGUUAAGCGGGACAAAGGACACGAUGAUUAUACUAGUUCGGCCCCUUGCAGUGAAGGUAAAAGCCUACGUCCAGUUGAGGUGGUAUUACUUAGGGUUUCGAUGACCAGGAGCUAAACCGCUCUGCUUGGCUAUCGAUUUGAUCUUACUUGCCCUGAACCGCCGCCGGGUCGUCCCUUUAUAUAGAGAGGUUGACGCCCCGUGGCUCUCAGAGUCCCGGCCGGCUUAUAACAGUAUCCGGCUCGGACUCUUAACUUCUCUUGCCUUACAUUACAAGUUUUGCCAUAACGGCGGUUUAUCACUACGGGCCUUAAGCCGCCUCCGGGUCUUAAGCCCAUUACUGAUCCGCCAUCUCCAAGCUUGGUACUGGGCUUCACGUGAUGAUCAUUAUGACGUAACCCGGCCCCUCCUGGGCGGGUGACUCUAAUGGUUAUAUCCUCAACAUUAGGCCCCAGAUUGAUUUGAACCGGUUCAUGUCAAUCUUCAAUACCAUAAGAGAAAAUCUUCCGGCUUUUGUUUGCGCGAAAGUUAUAACCCGCCAUGACGUCAUCUUCUGGAUUCGCGGUAACCCGCCGUGACGUCAUCCGCCAUUAAUGCACGUUCCGUCCAACGUAUCUCAUCGGAUCCUUAUCUUAAUAACUAUCCCGAAAAUCGAGGCGCCUCUGCAGCUGGAUAAUCAUGUGUUCAGCCUCCUCGUUUCUCGCGCCAACUUAACAGCCGUCCCUUAUAAAUAGGCCCGACCGGGUCCUCUCUCACUCCUCCCUUUCCAUCGUCUUCCUCCUCUCAACACCUCAGAGCCCGAGCUCCAGCGCCGCCGCCGCGCCUCUCGUCUUCCUCAGCCUCGGCCGCUGCAUCAACCUGAGUUGGUCCAGAGAACGGCGGCGACUCUCCGCAGUGAACCUGCAACCGUAAGUCUUCUUCUUCUCGGACGUCAGAUCCGCAUUAGGGUUCCGAGCUUUCUCCGUGUUCUUCGUAGUUCAUCUCAGUUCUUUUAUAGUUCUUCCACCACGACCUCUUUUGAUCCGAAAAAUAGUACAGAACUCCUGCGGUAGUGGUUUCGCACCCAUUUCCAAUACUAGCAGAUCCCUUUUGCUUGCAAAAAGACCUCAUUAGAACUUAUGAACUUAUCUAUAUCAGCUUUUUAAGUCUAGAAAUUUUUCCUUUCUGGACGAUCAUUUGAUCCAAAAUAAUCCCUGCAAUCUGUGAAACUUGUUUAUGCAACACUUAGACAAAAACUGCAUCUGUUAGCCAUGGCGGCUUAUAUCGCCGACUUAAAAGAAGCCAUGCUUUGUGAAAUUUCUGGCUUACUCAUAAUAGAAAUAAAUAACUUAAAUUGCUUAUAAUACCCACGGCGGCUUAAAUAACCUGACACAAUUAGUCAUAUAUCAUUAGGCCCCUUCAUAAACCGCCGUCCUGAAUACUGAACUGAAAUCUCUCUCCGGCUUAAAUUUGAACCGGAAAUUUUCCUUUGUCAUAGGCUUCCAUUUUCCACAAUGCCGCCCAAGGCGCCCAUUACGUGCAACUGGGUGACGUCCAACGUUACUGAAAGCACCUUAAAUGACUUCGUAAAAACGGGUUACCUGCCUAAAAAGGAGGUCAUGUCCUACCGUGCGCCUGACCCAUCUGAAGAGAGACCUCAACCAAAAGACGGAGAGGUUGUUAUAUUUGCUGACCAGAUGAGCCGGGGCUUUGCUCCUCCUGGCUCAAAAUUCUUCAGAGAUGUUCUGAACUUUUUCGAUCUGCGACCUCAAGACAUUGGACCCAAUUCCGUGUCGAACAUUUGUAACUUUCAAGUGUUUUGUGAGGUAUACCUUGGAGAAGAACCCAGCCUGCUACUCUUUAGGGAGUUAUUUUACCUGAACCGCCAGAAUGAAUGCGCCAACGGGCCUAGCUUGGAACUUGGUGGAAUCUCAGUUCAACGACGGAGAGAUUGUCUCUUUCCUUAUGCUGAGCCGCCAAGCCACCCAAAGGACUGGAACCAGACAUGGUUCUACUGCCAGGAUACUUCUCCGGCUGAUGAGAACCCUCUGCCCGGCUUUCGCGCCCUGCGUCUGGAGUCAAAUCACCCCCUGCCACACAAAUUAUCUCAAGCUGAGCGUCAACCACUUAUCCCCACCAUCAACAAAAUCAAAGCUCUUCUGGGAAACGGCCUUAACGGCGUUGAUCUAGUCCGGGUCUGGAUUGCUUGGCGGGUGAUUCCUCUAAACCACCGCCCCGGCUUAAUAUGUGAUUACACGGGCCGGAAGGAUGAUCCUCUUCGGCACAGCCCCAACGACUUACCUGAGGACGUCGUUGAUGACAUGACCAAGUCCCUUCUGAAUGAGAGCUUAGCAGAUUGUGGGAGGACAGGCUUAAGUCCCUUCUACGGUAAGCUACUGAUCUGAACACCUUACUUUCCAUUUUAACAAUUUUCGUCUUAACUUCAAGAAACCUCUGUUGUAUUUUUCAGGCUAACGAUAAGUUCUGGAAGGUCAGGUAUGACCAUGAGGCUGCUAAAAAAGCCAGGAAGGUUAAAAAGCCGCCAAGAGAGCCGCUCCCCGCAAGAAGGGGAGUAAGCCUAGCGCCUCAGACCUGCUUCAACUGGAUGACACCUCCGAGUCAGAGGUAGCCCUUGAUUCUUUAGGCUCUUCUUUUGUUUUUUGUUUGUUUUUAACCACCUUAUUGACACUGAUUAUCAGCAGGAGGAUACCGGAGCGAGUAACCCGGUGAUUGAAGAGGUAACUAUACUUUCCUCCGACUCGGAGCCCUUGCCAAGACUGAAAAUCCGAAGAGUAACCCGCAAAGUAAGAUUUUCCCAUCCUUUAGCUUAUCAAGAUCCUCAAUUUAUUUUGAAGCGACAGAUUCAUGAGAGUCGGAGGCAGACCCGGACCAGCAAGGAUGCAGACCUCUCCUCCGGCUUACCCGAAGCAUCAAGGAAGCGCCGGACUGAGGUUAUCUCCGACUUAUAUCCUUUUCAUCCUUUGGCGGGCGUCACUCGUCAACCACUCAAUUCUUCUGAUUCAAACUACCAGGGAACUUCACCUUCCUCCGGCGACUCAAUGCAGCCUAACUUGCCAGCCUUCAAGACCGCCCCCGGGUAAUAAUGAUCAGCUUACUUUGUGCUUAUCUUACUCAUGUUUUUGAACUAACUCUUUGAAUUUCAGUGUACAAGUAAAGCCCAGCAAGAGGGCGAAGAAAAAUAAGCCAGCCGAAGAGUCGGUCCUAACUGAACCGGAGGCUUCUGCUCAUGAGCCGCCGUCUGCCUCAGCUCCUGAAACCACCGCUCCAACUGAAGAACAAGUCAUGGAGGGUUCUGAUAACCCGGAGAUCCCCAGCCCAGCUCAAUCAGUCGAUGACCCGGACGUUGUGAUCACCUGGACAGAGUUUGUCGAGCCGGGAAGACCCACUGUGCUGGCUAGAUGCUCUGCCAAGGAAGAACUGCUGGAGCGCCGCAGGGCCAGGCUGGAUAUCACUGACUAUGCUAACUUGAGCAUUGGAGAUAUUGUCUCCGGCUAUGUUACUCAAGUGCACAACAGCCGGGACCUGGAAAUUGACAUGGUGAAGCAAAUCCAGCAAAAAUCUGAGGUAUGACUCUCUUGCUUCUUUUAUAUUUAUCCUUACCAUGUCAGCCCCCAAGUCUAUGACUUAUGAUAAAAUAUGUUGUAGACUUAAUACCGGCUUAAUAACUACUGCAAGAAAACCGGCUUACCUGGUACCACUCAAGGGCCGGCUUAAACAGCAUAGUUCACCCGGUUCUUUCCUUACUUUAACCAAGUAGUUGAGCAACUUUACACAUUAGCCCCCAAGUGCCAAGUAUCUUUGCCUGCAAAGUGCUUGGGACUUUAAUGUUGCAUGAUAAUCACCAAACUGUAACCCGGAAUUUGUACAGGCUGCCUGCAAGAAAUUUGAAUCGGAAAUCUCUGAUCUGAAGAACCGCCUGAAGUCUCAGGAAAGUGAGACCCAAAAGGCCAGUGCCAAAUUUGAAUUCAGUGUUUCUGCACAAGAGAAACUGAAGAAAAAAUUUGAAGCAGAAAGAAAAGCCUGGGCAGAUGAAAAGACUGCCUUGCUCAGCCGGGCCGAACAAGCGGAGGCUGCUCUUACUGAAAGAACCGCCGAACUCUCCGGCUUAAAACGCCAUGUAUCGCAGAUGGUCUCCGCAAUCUUCGGUAAGUUACUCUGUAAGCUUCUAACAAGUUUACAUCAUUCAUGUCUCAUAAGUCCCACCAUUGCCAUCAGCUCACCUGACUCUGUUAUGCAGGUCCCAGAAGUUCCAAUCUCAAUCAGAACAUGCUGACCAAGCUGAAGGCGGUUUACACCUUGGUGGAGCAACUCUACACCGGGUCACAGCGUGCUUUAGCCGUUGUGGCUCUGUCCAAUGAGGUUCCCACUCACCUGGCAGACGUACUCAGGCGGCUUGCUGUACUUCCUCAACGCUUCCAAGAGCUGAGACGGGCUUCUGCAAGAGCCGGAGCUAUAGCUGAUCUGAGCCGGGCCAAGGCGUUUCUACCGGAGCUAGACCCGGCCGACAUCGCUCUUGGAUACCCCAGCCUGAAGGAAGACGGCACCCCCUUUGACCAGAAAGACUUCGCCGCCUGUGUGAAGAGCAUGCGCCUGGUGGCCACCUUGAUUGGGAAUGACACAGACCUUACCAAGUAUCAGCCGGGCUAUGACGUGGAGAAUCAGAGGAUCCCAACUCCAUGCUAUGAAGCAGUCAGCCUGAUCCCUCCGACUCGUAAGCAUACCUUCGCCCCAGAAGUUGACCCGGCCGGGUUAAUUGAUGAUGAGGAUCAAUUUGAAGCUUUGAGCGGCAUUGACUGGAAAUCAUCAACCUUCCAGGUCAUGGAAACAGUCGGAGGAGCGGAGAGGGAUGAGCCGGAAGCAUCAACCCAACGAGCACUUUAAAUUCUUAGGCGGCUCAUGGUAUGCUUUUAAAACAAUGCCUCACCUUUUGGACUCGGGGAGUCCUGUAAUAGAGUAGGACAAACACUUAAUUUUGUCGUGCCAUAGUGCACGUGUGCGGCGCUUAACUCUGUUGAAGCUGCUCUUUUGUAUUCCUCCGGGUUAUGUUUGAUCAUUUGCUUUCCUUAAACUUAAAGAGCUGUCUUUAAUUGUCCUGCAUAGAAAACAAAUCACAAGUCUCUGCAAGCCUUCAAGUACACUUCCGGUUUAUGUAACCCAAAUAAUGAGGUUGAGAACUCAACUCCGGUUCACCAGCAUUGAUAAUGCUUAUUGUGUGCUAUCAACAUUGUUAAUCAAAGUUAAGCCGGUGGAGUAAGAAUCACCCUUGCACACCUUUGAUAUGAUCAAAAGAACUUGUUGCAAACCAAAAGAUUAAAGACGUAAGGGCUUCUGAUUCGAAUACGACCAGAGAACCGUCCCAAAGGGGUUAAGCUAAGAUUCGAAUGCGAUCAUAUAGCCCCCAGUGGCUUUGGCGUUGCCGACCAAAAGGGUACCGACAGCUAUGUUCUCUUUGGUUCGAAUACGACCUAUGUUUGAACAGGAAGCCCCCAAAUGACCUUGAGAGUUGUUUAACGACGCUGAUUCGAAUACGAUCCACGUCGGUUCCCAAAGGGGGUUGAGCUAUUAUUCAAAUAUGAUCAAGAAAAAACUCCCCAAUGAGCUCGGCAAUAUGCCAAUCAAGUGGGUAUCAACAGCUAUGUUCUCUUUGGUUCGAAUACGACCUAUGUUUGAACAGGAAGCCCCCAAGUGAUCAUAUGAUAUCAUAAUGAAAAUAACAAUGACACAUUUACCUUUGGAGGGGAAAAAAGGACAGAGGUCCUGCUUUAUUAUUCAUCAUAAUAUAUACAUGGCUAUAGAAAUAUGUACAUUAUGAGAGCCGGUGGCUCAAGUGUAAUAAGGCCGAAGCUGAGCUAUGUUCCAUGGCCAACGGGUCUCUUCCUCCGACUUACAUGAAUCUUUGUGCUCCCGAACAUCGAUAAGGUAGUAUGACCCAUUGUGCAAGUUCUUGCUGACCACAAAGGGCCCUUCCCAAGGCGGGGAUAACUUGUGUGCAUCUGUUUGAUCUUGGAUGAGCCGGAGCACCAGAUCACCUUCCUGAAAGACCCUGGACUUAACCCGGCGGCUGUGAUAGCGGCGCAGGUCUUGUUGGUAAAUCGCCGAGCGAGCUGCUGCCACAUCACGCUGUUCGUCCAACAAGUCAAGAGCAUCUUGACGCGCCUGCUCAUUAUCCGCCUCAACAUAAGCCGCCACUCGAGGCGAGUCAUGACGGAUGUCGCUAGGGAGGACCGCCUCCGCUCCAUAAACCAUGAAGAAAGGCGUGUAACCCGUAGACCUGUUAGGAGUAGUAUUGAUGCUCCAUAACACGGAGGGUAACUCCUCCACCCAGCAACCCGGCGUCCGUUGCAAAGGGACCAAAAGCCGGGGCUUGAUGCCCUUCAAGAUUUCCUGAUUGGCUCGCUCAGCUUGACCAUUGGAUUGAGGGUGAGCCACUGAUGAAACAUCAAGCCGAAUAUGCUCUCGUUGACAAAACUCCUCCAUGGCGCCUUUAGACAGAUUGGUACCAUUGUCAGUUAUAAUGCUGUGUGGAAAACCAAAGCGAAAUAUCACCCUUUUCAUGACCUGAACCGUUGUGGCUGCGUCACACUUACUAACUGGCUCUGCCUCAACCCACUUUGUGAACUUGUCGACCGCCACCAAGAGGUGGGUCCUCUUAUCCUUGGACCUUUUAAAAGGCCCGACCAUAUCAAGCCCCCAGACCGCAAAUGGCCAGGUGAUUGGAAUCAUCCUCAACUCUUGAGUUGGUACAUGAGCCCGUCGUGAGAACCUCUAACAACCGUCACAUUUACUGACCAAGUCCUCUGCAUCAGCAUGAGCCGUCAGCCAAUAAAACCCAUGACGAAAAGCCUUGGCCACAAGGGAUUUUGAGCCGGCAUGAUGGCCACAAUCCCCCUCGUGAAUCUCACGUAAAAUUUCUUGACCUUCCUCAGGGGAAACACAAUGCUGGAAAGUUCCAGUGACACUGCGACGAUGCAGCUCGCCAUUGAUAAUUAUCAUUGACUUAGACCGCCAGGUUAUUUGUCUGGCCAAAGUUUCAUCUUCAGGCAAUUCUCCCCGGGUCAUGUAAGCCAAGUAUGGUACUGUCCAAUCUGGGAUAAUGUGGAGAGCCGCCACCAACUGCGCUUCCGGGUCAGGAACAGCCAAGUCUUCCUCUGUAGGCAACUUAACAGAAGGAUUAUGCAAAAUGUCCAAGAAAGUAUUAGGCGGCACCGGCUUUCGCUGAGAGCCCGGCCGGCUUAAUGCAUCAGCCGCCUCGUUCUUCCUGCGAUCGAUGUGCUCUACUUGGUAACCCUGAAAAUGUCCAGCAAUGGCAUCAACUUUGCGGCGAUAAGCCGCCAUGAGGGGGUCCUUGGAAUCCCACUUGCCUGACACUUGUUGGGCCACUAAAUCUGAGUCGCCAAAGCACCUUACCCGGCUUAAGCUCAUCUCCUUAGCCAUCCGAAGACCAUGGAGCAAGGCCUCGUACUCAGCUGCAUUGUUAGUACAGGGAAACAUCAACCAUAGCACAUAGCAAAACUUGUCACCUCGAGGGGAAGCUAAUACAACUCCAGCCCCCGAGCCCUCCAACUGCCUGGACCCGUCAAAAUGAAUAGUCCAGUAUGUAUUAUCCGGUUUCUCCUCAGGCACCUGCAGCUCUGUCCAAUCGUUGAUGAAAUCCACCAAUGCUUGAGACUUGAUGGCAGUGCGUGGUACAUAUUUCAGACCAUGAGGCCCAAGUUCUUUAGCCCACUUAGCCACUCUUCCUGUGGCUUCUCUGUUUUGGAUGAUAUCUCCUAGGGGAGCAGAACUAACCACAGUGAUAGGGUGACCCUGGAAAUAGUGCUUAAGCUUCCGGCUUGCCAUGAACACCCCAUAAACAAGCUUCUGCCAAUGUGGAUACCGUCGUUUGGACUCAAUGAGUACUUCGCUGACAUAGUAAACCGGUCACUGAACCGGAUACUCCUUACCCGCUUCCUUACGCUCCACCACCACAGCCACACUGACGGCUCGUGUAUUAGCGGCUACAUACAGUAAUAAAGGCUCCUUGUCAACAGGAGCAGCAAGGACUGGUGGCUCAGCCAGCUAUCUCUUCAAAUCCUCAAAAGCAGCAUUAGUAGUAUCAUUCCAGAUAAAGUCAUCUGUUUUCUUCAUCAUCUGGUACAGUGGCAUGGCAUUUUCAACCAACCGGCUUAUAAACCGGCUCAAAGCAGCGAUGCGACCCGCCAGACGCUGGACGUCGUUUAUGCACGCCGGCUUAGCCAGAGAGGUGAUUGCCUUGAUCUUUUCCGGGUUAGCUUCAAUGCCUCUGUGAGAAACCAGAAAACCCAAGAGCUUGCCUGCGGGAAAACACACUUGGCCGGGUUAAGCAUCAUCUUGUAAACCCGGAGGUUAUCAAAGGUUUCUCUAAGAUCAUCUAUCAAGGUCUCCUUCUCCCUGGAUUUAACCACGAUAUCAUCCACAUAGGCAUGAACGUUGCGCCCAAUCUGGUUAUGAAGACAAUUCUGCACGCAACGCUGGUAAGUCGCAUGUGCACUCUUGAGCCCAAAAGGCAUAGACACAUAACAGAAGGCUCCAAAGGGAGUGAUGAACGCCGUCUUCUCCUGGUCCUUAACUGCCAUUUUAAUCUGAUGGUAUCCAGAAUAAGCAUCCAAAAAAUUAAGCGCUCACAACCCGCCGUAGCAUUAAUAAUUUGAUCAAUACGGGGGAGAGCAAAAGGAUUAGCCGGACAAGCUUUGUUUAAAUCCGUGUAGUCCACACACAUCUGCCAGGUGCCAUUCUUCUUGAGCAUGAGCACCGGGUUAGCUAACCAUUCUGGAUGAAAAACUUCAACAAUAAACUCGGCCGCUAAGAGCCGAGCUACUUCCUCACCAAUGGCUUUCCACCUCUCCUCAUUAAACCGCCGGAGGAAUUGCCUGACCGGCUUAAAUUUCGGAUCAAUAUUGAGAGUGUGCUCGGCGAGUUCUCUAGGUACACCCGGCAUGUCAGAAGGUUUCCAUGCAAAGAUGUCCCUGUUCUCACGGAUGAACUCGAUGAGCACGCCUUCCUAUUUCGGAUCCAGAUUGGCACUGAUGCUAAACUGCUGAGAUGAGUCACCUGGAACAAAAUCAACAAGUUUAGUCUCAUCAGUUGACUUAAAUUUCAUUACCGGCUCAUGCUCCGUGGUUGGCUUUUUCAAAGCCGUCAUAUCUGCCGGGUCAACAUUGUCCUUGUAAAACUUCAACUCCUCUGUUGCACAAACAGAUUCCGCGUAAGUCGCAUCACCUUCCUCACACUCCAAGGCUAUCUUUCGGCUGCCAUGAACCGUAAUGGUCCCAUUGUGACCCAGCAUCUUGAGCUGCAAAUACACGUAACACGGCCGUGCCAUGAACUUGGCGUAAGCCGGCCGCCCAAAUAAAGCAUAGUACGGACUUCUUAUCUUAACCACCUCAAAGGUUAGUUUUUCCGCCCUAUAGUUGUACUCAUCUCCAAAAGCUACUUCCAGCUCGAUCUUACCGACUGGAUACGCCGACUUACCGGGCACCACCCCAUGGAAAAUAGUAUUGGACUGGCUGAGGUUUUUAUCAGUUAACCCCAUACGACGGAAAGUCUCAUAAUAGAGGAUGUUGAUGCUGCUGCCUCCGUCCAUGAGCACUUUAGUGAAUUUAUAUCCCCCAACCUGAGGGGCCACCACCAAGGCCAGGUGACCCGGGUUAUCGACCCGAGGAGGGUGAUCUUCCCUACUCCAUAUGAUAGGCUGCUCAGACCAUCUUAAAUAGCGCGGAACCGCCGGCUCAACAGCAUUCACAGCCCUUUUAUGAAGCUUCUGAUCUCGCUUGCACAGACUGGUAGUAAACACAUGAUACUGUCCACCAUUGAGCUGCUUGGGAUUGGUCUGGUAUCCCCCCUGCUGCUGCUGAUAAUGACCCUGGCCGGACUGCUGAUUAAAACCCCCUUGAAAAUUCUGAGAAUUGGAAUUUGAGCCGCCGCCCGGGCCAUGAAAGCCGCCGGCGCCUGAGCCGCCGCCUGGCCCAUUGUUGCCAUUAAAAGCAUUGGAAUUUUUGAAAGCUUUCAUGAUUGCGCAGUCCUUCCAUAGAUGAGUGGCCGGCUUCUCCCUAGAGACAUGCCUUGGACAAGGCUCAUUCAACAACUGCUCAAGCGUCGGGCCUGACCCGCCGGCUCGCGGGGGUGGUCUUCCCUUGCGACGGUGGUUGUUGCCCUGCGCAUUGGCGUUGGCCACAAACUCCAUGCUGCCAUCAGCCUUACGUUUGUUACCUCCCUGGCUCACCGGGUUAUGCUGAGGGCCCUUUCCAUUGCCGUUCUUCUUUCCCUUCCCUGUCCUUUCAUCAUCCGACGCGGGAUCCUUGGUACUAUCAGAGUCGGCGUACUUGACCAGAGCCGCCAUCAGCGUACCCAUAUCAUUGCAAUCGCGCUUGAGCCGCCCGAGCUUCAUCUUCAGGGGCGCAAAAUGACAAUUUUGCUCCAACAUUAAAACUGCAGAGCCGGCAUCCAUCUUAUCAGACGAAUGUAUUAUCUCUUUGACCCGGCGAACCCAAUAGGUUGUAGACUCGCCCUCUUGCUGCUUGCAGUUAGUCAAAUCCACAAUUGACAUAGAUUGCCUACAUGUAUCCUUGAAGUUUUGGAUGAACCGGGCUUUUAACUCUGCCCAUGACCCGAUGGAGUUAGGCGGAAGUCCUUUCAACCAAGUGCAGACAGUCCCAUCCAACAUCAUGGUGAAGUAUUUGGCCAUUGCUGCUUCACCAACCUCCAGUAACUCCAUAGCCAUCUCGUAGCUCUCGAUCCAUGCUCCGGGUUGUAAAUCAGCCGUGUAAUUAGGUACCUUCCUAGGUCCUUUGAAAUCCUUGGGCAAACGUUCAUUACGGAGAGCCGGCACUAGACAAGGGACGCCUCCGGUCCUCGUAGGUAUACCCGUUUCGAUAGAAGCCGUCGGAUAAACCGGGAGGGGCUGGUAAGCCGUCAACUGAGGCACCUGCUCCGCCUCUUGCCGUGCUCUGUCUUGGUCUACCGCGUGAAAAGCUCCAUUAUGAACUGGGCCGUGGCCAGGAGGCAAGUCUCGGCGUUGGACAUUGCUUGAGCCGGUCGCUGAGACCAUGUGUCUGCUAUAACUAGGGCUCCGGCCUGGACGAGGGGUUGAAUGAAUCCUGUCCCGGCUAUAAGAAUAUGCCUCCUAUUGCGCCAGAGCCGUCUGAAGAAGUUCUCUGACCCGGCGGGUUUCGACCGCUAUUGGAGAGUCGCCAGCCGCGCCGCUGCGGCGACCAUGUUUUCCAACGGGUUGGCAUAAUGACCCGAUGGUAUUGGCACGUAUUGAGGCGGGGUGGUGUUCACGCGGGGAGGACCCAUCACUUGCGGCUGAACUGGCGUUCCAGCCCUGGGUGCCGUGAUCUCCGGCGGGUUACUGGGCCCUGCACCAGGCGUGUUGAAAAGGUUUCGAGGAUCGUAAACUGGAGGGAGUCGAGAUUGAGCCUUCUGAUGCCUCCUUCUCAUGAUCUCAUUGGAUGCGUUCUGAUCCAUCGUGAGCCGGAAAGACUGCGCCUGAAUCAGCUGAGUCUGGGCAUCGAGAGCCGCCCGCUCUGCAGCCAUCCUGAUCCCUUCCGCCGCUAGAUCCUCCUUGGCUUUUGCUAGAUCCAGCUUUAACUGUGCCACCUCCGCAUCAUGCUGAGCUUGAUCCACUAGGGCGACCGUAGCGGUUAACAGGGCCGUCAUCUUGUCUGUGAGAUCCAUCAGCACCUGAGCCGGCGAGUGCACCGGGCCUCCUACCCCGGCAGCAGGGUUUUGAACAGGUUGUGCGCCGGCCAUAAAGAUUCCAACCCGGCUCGGCGGCUCAAAGGGGUCCGGAAUACUGUCGCCAUCGGAACAACCCCUGAGCCUGCCAUCUUGAAGUUGGUAUAACGAGUCGGUCUCCUCUGUGGAUGACUCGCCGUCAGAGCGAGUGGCCGUCUCAUCGCCAGACCCAGAUCCUUCAGAAAGUUCUCCGUGGAUGCAUCCCACGAAAGCACGCUUCAAGGUAGGCAGAAUCCCGGCGGGUCUCGCACGCUGAGCCGUCUCGAUGAGGUCGGCGCAGAGAUCCGGCUCAGGGCCCGGCUCGCCGACCUUGCCAAUGAAAACGUGGAUUCCGCCGAAGGGGACCCGAUACCCGUACUCGAUUGAGCCGGCGUCGGGGCCCCAGCUUGCAUCGUCGAUGUAGAGCUUGCCGCGACGACUCUUAGUCAUCCGGCCCACAGCGUAUCCAUUGAGCCCUUCGAAGCUGCCCUUCAAGAACUCAAAUCCACCGUGCGCUGGCCCCACGGUGGGCGCCAACUGUCGUGGAAUUGUCACGGCAGAUGUCCUCGUGCAAAGACUUAGUCGUGGAGCCAUCGCAGCUAGGAAGCUUAAAGGGGUUAAGCGGGACAAAGGACACGAGGAUUAUACUGGUUCGGCCCCUUGCAAUGAAGGUAAAAGCCUAUGUCCAGUUGAGGUGGUAUUACUUAGGGUUUCGAUGACCAGGAGCUAAACCGCUCUGCUUGGCUAUCGAUUUGAUCUUACUUGCCCUGAACCGCCGCCGGGUCGUCCCUUUAUAUAGAGAGGUUGACGCCCCGCGGCUCUCAGAGUCCCGGCCGGCUUAUAACAGUGUCCGGCUCGGACUCUUAACUACUCUUGCCUUACAUUACAAGUCUUCCCAUAACGGCGGUUUAUCACUACGGGCCUUAAGUCACCUCCGGGUCUUAAGCCCAUUACGGAUCCGCCAUCUCCAAGCUUGGUACUGGGCUUCACGUGAUGAUCAUUAUGACGUAACCCGGCCCCUCCUAGGCGGGUGACUCUAAUGGUUAUAUCCUCAACAGGUUCAGUUAAUAGCCAUCGAUCGAUCGCUCGGGUUCAGUAACGCGUAGCCUGCAGUGCAAUCGCUCGGGUUCAGUUAGAGCCCAACGCCUCGCUCGGGUUCAGUUAGAGCCAACGCCUCGCACACACGCGCAUACGUGUACGAGAGAAACGCGCAUCGCUCGGCCCCCGACCUCCCACCGUAACCGGGAACUCCCCGAAAUUUUCCUCGCCCUCGCUUCUACCACGGUUUUUUCCGUCAUGGACGGCCCAAAGAAUGUCAUGCAGCUGCGUCUCCGGCCCGCCCAGGACGAAAAGCCCAUUUUCUGUCAUGAUUUUUUGUCAUAGAAGUAGGAGCCCACCACAUCUAUGAUGAUACCGGGUUUUGUCACAAUUAUCGUCACAGAAGUGUCAUAUGUAUGACAGAAAAAAAAUUCGUUCGGCCCAAAAUGUCACGGAUGUGUCUUUUUUUUGUAGUGUGGAGGCUGUCGGGCACGCACAUGUUCGUAACACCGAAUUUUACUACCAGCUCGUCAAGUGGGUUUCCCGCUUAGAAGCCGAAGCUUGGGUGGACCACUCCGGCAUGGAAAGAGCCAAAGCGCGCGAGCAACGCGCCCUAUCGCACCUCUGGCAAGUCCGAGGCGAGACGGAGAACGCCAGUGCCGGCGUUUAGCGUGUACCGCAGAUGGCGGCCGGCAUCGUCUAGUUAGCUAAGAGUAAGUUGGUACGUGUACACUACUAGAUUAUUAGUGGGAGUAGAUAGUUACUGGCUAUGAUGGUUGUCAACGUGGAAGUUCAGUACUCUAUAUCUGGCAGACCUGUUACUUUGCUCUGAAUGUUGAACUUUCCGUUUGAACGUAUCGAAUGGGCUAUUAUUAUUUUUAAACGGGUUGUAUUUGUCCGCCACAGGUUUAGAGGCUGACUUGUGGGCCUACCAGGUUGACGUACACAAUCAGGAGAUGAUUGUACGUGGAGAGGAUGACAGCAGGGAUCCACCAAGGUCAUGGCAGUACGCAAGCAAGUGCCUCCUUAUUUCAAGCCAAUAAAAAAUGGCUCCUCCUAAUGGAUUUCUGACAUCUGGGUCCCAUGCCAUUGUCAACGUAGUCAAUAAACGAGAGAAUUGCACAACGAGCGGCUGACACCAGGGACCCAGCAGCUCGCCCAGUUAUUUUUGUUUUGGGUUAAUUUGAUAAAUGCCACUCCAAAUCUGGUGAUUCCGAGAAAUGCCACUGCAAUUUCCAAACUUUGAAAAAUGUCAUUUCCAGUGACAUUUUUCGAAGUCUGGAGUGGCAUUUUUCAAAGUUUACAAAAAUUGCAUAGCGUUUUUCAAAGUUUGCAAAAAUUGCAGUUGCAUUUUUCAAAGUUUGGAAAUUGUCGUGGCAUUUUUCGAAGUUUGGAAAUUGCAGUGGCAUUUAUAUGAAUCGCCAUAAUUGAAGUGGCAUUUAUCUAAUUUGUUUUUGAGAUGGAAGCAGGGUGUCAACUGGGCUGUGCGGGUGUAACGCCCCGGAUUCGAUGCGCCAGGUGUCUUCCAGUUAUUCGCCGUUGUUGCCAUGUCAUCUGCUUGCGUGUUGCAUUUUGCCAUGUCAUCAUCUGCAUAUCUUUCAAAACAUGCAUCCGGUCCUUUUCCCCGUUGUCCGUUUCGCGAUCCAACACUCUCCCUCACGCCAGUCACCCCUCUCAGACCUUGUUUCGUGAGCGGGAGAAAAACGUUCUCGGAAUGGGCCGAGAUUUGACGAGUGGCCUUGGUAUAUCACCGGCAGGCCGCCCGUCAAAUUUCGUUCCAUUUGGAGGUCGUUUGAUGCCCCAACGGUUAACCGAGCUAACCGAAAGCCCAUUUUGUCUUGCAGCCCACACCCCUCCAAAUCAGCCCACUAGCCCAUCCAAACCCCCUCCAUGCUCUCGGUCGUUCGAUCACGAUCGUGUGGGCGAAAAACGCACCCCAUUUGGACUCUCCUAGCUCCCUCUAUCUAUAAAUAAGUCCCCUCCCCCGAAAUUCGCAGUCCAAACCCUAGCCCCGCUCCCCUCGCACCGCCGGACAUGUCCGCCGCCGCCUCCGCAGCCACCCCGCAGUGCCACGUGUCACCGCCACCGUCUCCAGCGUGCCUCCACCGCGCGGGCCCGUCGAGCCCAGCCGCGGCCCUCCUGCCCCGGUCGNNNNNNNNNNNNNNNNNNNNNNNNNNNNNNNNNNNNNNNNNNNNNNNNNNNNNNNNNNNNNNNNNNNNNNNNNNNNNNNNNNNNNNNNNNNNNNNNNNNNNNNNNNNNNNNNNNNNNNNNNNNNNNNNNNNNNNNNNNNNNNNNNNNNNNNNNNNNNNNNNNNNNNNNNNNNNNNNNNNNNNNNNNNNNNNNNNNNNNNNNNNNNNNNNNNNNNNNNNNNNNNNNNNNNNNNNNNNNNNNNNNNNNNNNNNNNNNNNNNNNNNNNNNNNNNNNNNNNNNNNNNNNNNNNNNNNNNNNNNNNNNNNNNNNNNNNNNNNNNNNNNNNNNNNNNNNNNNNNNNNNNNNNNNNNNNNNNNNNNNNNNNNNNNNNNNNNNNNNNNNNNNNNNNNNNNNNNNNNNNNNNNNNNNNNNNNNNNNNNNNNNNNNNNNNNNNNNNNNNNNNNNNNNNNNNNNNNNNNNNNNNNNNNNNNNNNNNNNNNNNNNNNNNNNNNNNNNNNNNNNNNNNNNNNNNNNNNNNCCACCACCGUGCUCGCGUCCCCGCCGGCGACCUCGGCUGCCCGGAGCCGCGCCGCCGCCUCCCGGCUCCCCGAGCAACCGCUCCGCCCCGCCGGUUCCAGCCUCAGCCGGCCCUCCUCCGCCCGGAUCCGGCCGCGGGAGCUCCGGCCGCCCCGGAUCCGCCCUCCUUCGACCUCCUCCGUCCUCCCCGGCGAUCGCCGGAACCCUAGGGUCGCCGGAGACGGCGUUGACCUGCGCCGGGAUGGUCCCGUCCCAGAUCCGCCUAACCAAACGGCUUCUCGCACCGCUCCGUUCCGGGACCCCUCCGCCCCAGUUUUCUGCGAGGGUAAUUUUCACCAAGUCCUCGUGUUUUUCAGCACCAUGUUCAUAUGUUUGACAUGCCUUAACUUUCUGCUCGUAACUCCGUUUUGCGUGCAAGAUAUGUCAAAAUGUUAAUUGGGAGAUGCUCUUCCUUUUGUUUCAUUGUGCCAUUCUUGGUUGAGACCAUCUAGAUGCCCUAAUCAUCGUUGCAAGAGUGCUAUAUGAUGUUAACUGCUGUCUGUUGUCAGAAUUUGAUGAUUGUCUUUUUCAUUGCAUUUUGUGUGUGCAUCCUAUGAGCCUGAGGUAUACAUGUGUUUUGAACUACAUCACGCCAUCUUUACAGAGGUGCUUGUCUUGUAUUUUUAGGAUCUAUGUGGUGACUAGCACAAGCAUGCAAAGUAGCUUCCGUGAUGUUGCUGAUUUCUGUGACUUAGAAGAAGAAGGCUCAAGUGCCAGUCAGCCAGAGGAAACAAGUAGUCAUUUCUGCUAAGUCUGUAGCUGUAACACUGUGAUGCCAUGUAAACCUGCUGCUACCAUGAGUUCUAUGCAUAAUCUGGAGAUGUUCACUAAGUAUGUUCUGUUAUACAUGUUAUGCUCUAUGCAUACAGGCCCUUGUUUUCAUUUAUAACCUGCUGUAACUUGUUGUUAUCUUGCUCUCAACUUGCUAAAUAAUGUUGCUGUUAGCCUGUUAACAUGAUGUUCAGUUUUGCCAUAUGUUUUGCUAGAGAUCCAUGUACCCUAUGAACAUUCUCUUGCCAUGCUUAGUUUCAUAAUUAUGUCAUCUUACUGUUGGUUGCCUUCACAUGCCAUGAAAUGCUUUGUGAUCAGUGAUUUGAGCUCGCAAAGAUGCCUUCAUAAUUCUGUUUAUGCCAUGCUCAGUUUUUCUGCCAAGUCUGAAUCUGUUUAUGAAACUUGCUAUGUUUACAUGGGUGCCAUCAUGUCUUCUGUGCCUUUUUGGCUCAUGUUCAGUAAGGGACUUUUGUUCUAUGCUUAGAGUAGAAUCAUGCCAUGCCUUUGGUUGCCUUGAUAAGUUCCUGUAGCAUGUUGAUUGAUAGCUCUAAACUUAGCAACCUGAUGUUAUUUCUGCCAUGUCCAGUGAUUUCUGCCAAGUCUGUGAAACUGUUAUUAUUUUCUAUCUUGCCAUGUCCUUUUGAGCAUGUUCUAUUGAUUUCUGGAGAUAGCUCAGUGUUCAUGUUUUGUCAUGCUUUACCUGUACAUCAUGUACAUGCCUUUUGUUAUCAUGUUGAGGUGCUGUAGCAUGUUGUUUUGAUGCUUGCAAUAUGCCUAGAUGCUGUUUUGGACAGAUUGUUGUUAUAUCUUGUUUGGAGUGUAUGUGUUGCACCGUUGCUCCGUUCUGAGCAUGCUCUAUAUGAAACUUGCUUAGUUUUGCAUGUAGUUUCAUAUUACCUUGUUGCAUUUUUGUUUUGAGGUGCUUGCUUGAUGUUUGAAUGCAUUUUGCAUAAAUGCCAUGUUUAACUUGUUUUGCUCAUAUCUUCUAGGCCGUAGCUCCGAACUAAAUGAACUUUAUAUGUAACUUGACUAAAAUUUCGUGUAGAUCAUCUUGGUGCAUUUUAACUUGCUGUUUAACAACUUGAACAUAAGGUUUAUUCAGAUCUGGACCAAUUUCGAAAUUUGCAUAUGGGGACUUACCGGAAUUGUCAUAUCUUGUUUCCGGCCUCAUUUAAACUUGCUUUGAUGUGUUGUUCUUAUAUGCAUCAUCUCUUGCCAUGAGUAGCCUCAUGUAGCCUUGUCAUGCAUCAUACUUGGUUGAGCAUCAUGCCUUGUUCAUGUGUGGUGUGUUUACCAUGUUGUGUGCUUCUUCUCGAUAGUUCCCGUUUCGUUGCGAUCAUGAGGAUUCGUUCAUCUACGCUUGGUUCGUCUUCAUGACUUCAUCUUCUUCAUGGACUCGUUCUUCUUCCUAGCAGGAUUUCAGGCAAGAUGACCGUUACCCUGGAUCUCACUACUAUCAUUGCUAUGCUAGUUGCUUCGUUCUAUCGCUAUGCUGCGCUACCUAUCACCUGUUUAUCAAGCCUCCCAAAUUGCCAUGUCAGCCUCUAACCUUUUCACCCUUCCUAGCAAACCGUUGUUUGGCUAUGUUACCGCUUUUGCUCAGCCCCUCUUAUAGCGUUGCUAGUUGCAGGUGAAGAUGAAGGUUGUUCCAUGUUGGAACAUGGAUAUCAUGAACUUUGUUGGGAUAUCACAAUAUCUCUUAUAUUAUUAAUGCAUCUAUAUACUUGGUAAAGGGUGGAAGGCUCGGCCUUAUGCCUGGUGUUUUGUUCCACUCUUGCCGCCCUAGUUUCCGUCAUACCGGUGUUAUGUUCCUUGAUUUUGCGUCCCUUACGCGGUUGGGUGAUUUAUGGGACCCCCUUGACAGUUCGCUUUGAAUAAAACUCUUCCAGCAAGGCCCAACCUUGGUUUUACAUUUGCCACACCUAGCCUUUUUCCCUUGGGUGUCGCGCAUCCCGAGGGUCAUCUUUNNNNNNNNNNNNNNNNNNNNNNNNNNNNNNNNNNNNNNNNNNNNNNNNNNNNNNNNNNNNNNNNNNNNNNNNNNNNNNNNNNNNNNNNNNNNNNNNNNNNNNNNNNNNNNNNNNNNNNNNNNNNNNNNNNNNNNNNNNNNNNNNNNNNNNNNNNNNNNNNNNNNNNNNNNNNNNNNNNNNNNNNNNNNNNNNNNNNNNNNNNNNNNNNNNNNNNNNNNNNNNNNNNNNNNNNNNNNNNNNNNNNNNNNNNNNNNNNNNNNNNNNNNNNNNNNNNNNCAUCCCUUGGCAACUUGGGUUACGUCGGUACCUGUACGCUUCGCUUAUCCGGUGUGUCCUGAGAACGAGAUACGUGCGACUCCUAUCGGGAUUGUCGACACAUCGGGUGGCUUUGCCGGUCUUGUUUUACCAUUGUCGAAAUGUCUUGUAAACCGGGAUUCCGAGACUGAUCGGGUCUUCCCAGGAGAAGGAAUAUCCUCCGUUGACCGUGAGAGCUUAUAAUGGGCUAAGUUGGGACACCCCUACAGGGUAUAAACUUUCGAGAGCCGUGCCCGCGGUUAUGUGGCAGAUGGGAAUUUGUUAAUGUCCGGUUGUAGAGAACUUGACACUUGACUUAAUUAAAACGCAUCAACCGCGUGCGUAACCGUGAUGGUCUCUUUCCGGCGGAGUCCGGGAAGUGAACACGGUUUUUGGGUUAUGUUUGACGUAAGUAGGAGUUCAGGAUCACUUCUUGAUCAUUGCUAGUUUCAUGACCGUUCUGUUGCUCCUCUUCUCGCUCUUAUUUGCGUAGGUUAGCCACCAUAUAUGCUUAGUCGCUGCUGCAACCUCACCACUUUACCCCUUCCUUACCCAUUAAGCUUUGCUAGACUUGAUACCCAUGGUAAUGGGAUUGCUGAGUCCUCAUGGCUCACAGAUUACUACAACACCAGUUGCAGGUACAGGUUUUGCGAUGAUCAUGACGCGAGAGCGAUGUUACUUGUUUUGGAGUUCUUCUGCUUCUUCUUCGAUCAGGGGAUAGGUUCCAGGUCGGCAGCCUGGGCUAGCAGGGUGGAUGUCGUUUGAGCUUUUGUUUGUGUUUCAUCCGUAGACAGAUGUUGAUCUUAUGUAUGUUGUAUUGAUGUAUUCUUGCGGCAUUUGUAUGCCUUUUGUAUGUAUCCCCAUCUAUUAUGUAAUGUUGAUGUAAUGAUAUCCACCUUGCAAAAGCGUUUCAAUAUGCGGGUCUAUCCUUGGUGGGACCUUCGAGUUCCUCUCGGAUAGGGUCGCAUAUUGGGCGUGACAGCGGGGCACUCUGGCCUGUCUAGAUAGCCUUUUCUUUUAUGUUUACCACAGACCAGCCUAAUAGUUUUUUUUUCUUUCUGAAAAUGGCUAGCUCAGUUUUUUUGUGAUUUGUCAAGUAAUUCGCUUUGUCAGGCCUGUUGGGCUGCAAAUCUUUCAAGACGAGGAGAGCUUCAUUCGGCUGGCCGAGAAAAUGGCCUAUCAGUAAUGAGAAAUUGGUUGUACAUUUUUAAAACACAUCAAACAGGCAAUUAGUUUUAAAUUUUGUUUUUUUUUCAUUUCGAGAUUUUAAAUUGCAUUGAUUUUUAUGCAUGGACAAUUUGUUGGAUUUUAUAUUGAUAUACAUUUAUUUUUAAAAUCAGUUUGAAUGUGACUCGGAAUUUUGGGAUUAAAAACAGUUCGGACCGCACCAAAAUAUGCAAAAAUUUCAUAUAAUUUUUUAAUCGUGGCUACAAUAUAGGCUGUAAUGCUAACAAAAAGCAUAUGCGCUCCAAAAAACCCUUAAGAAUUAGCAAAUGGUCUAUAAAUUAUUAGAAAUAAUGGUAGAUGGGCUAUAUACUGUUUUCCAUAUAUUUGAGGCUUUCCUAAGAAAAGGUUGACGCACAAGUACUGACUGUUGGAUGUCCAUCCAACGACCGUUGUGCUUCUUCAAUCUCUGCUUUUCCUGCUCCAGCCUCUCAAACAAGCGUCGGCGGGGCUGCCUACUUCCUCCUCCCGCGACCGGCCAUGCUGCCGCGCAGGCCUCACCGUUCCACCGUACUCCCAUCGCUGGCCUAGCCAUCCCUCUACUCACCCACACCUGUUGUUAUUCUCCGGCGACGGCAGACGAACCAGUAAACCCUCGUACUCCCCUCGACGUGGGAAACAACUGCCGAGUCUUCCCUGACUCCGUGUCGUUCCCUUCCUAGGCCUCGUCGUCGUCCACCGCCCUGGUGCUCUCAGUGCCGCGUGGUCAACGUGGUCAAUGAACGACAUGCAUCAAAAGUGGACUGUACGUGGAGAGGCUGACAGCUGGGUCCACAGCCGCAUGUAAGGAAAUGCCUUCUUAUUACGCGUAAAAUACGGAUUCCUCCACCUGACAGCUGGGACCCACCGGAAGGGCCUCUGUAUUUCGUGAAAAAACGUUCCCCCCGCUGACAGGUCGGACCCACCAGGUAUAUCUUCGCACGCAAGGAAGUGUCUCCUUAUUACGCACAAAAAAAUGAAUACUCCCCCUGCUAGCUGGGACCCACCAUAGUGGGAGGCUGACUUGUGGGCCUACUAAGAUGACGGGGACGGAGGGCUUUGUCAACUUAGUCAAUAUGAACGAUUCUAGUUUUAGUGACCGUAUGAUGUCCAUCCAACGGACGUAGUGCUUUUUCAACCUCUGGUCUUCUUGCUCCAGCCUGCCAAACAAGCAUCGGCCGUGCCGCCUGCUCCUGCCUCCCGUGUCCGGCUGUGCUGCCACUGCUGGCCAUGCCAUCCCUCUAUACUCACCCACACCUCCUGCUAUUCUCCGGCGAUGGCAGCCUCACACCGCAGCCGAAGCAGUCAACCCACGUACUCCCCUCCGCGUGGGCAUCCACUGCCGCAUCUUCCCCGGCUCUGCGUCAUCCCCUUUCUAGGCCUCGCCGUCGUCCACCGCCCCGGUGCUCUCGGCGCGGGGUGGUCAACGUGGUCAAGGAACGACUUCCAUCGGAAGAGUACUGUACGUGGAGAGGCUGACAGCUGGGUCCACGGCAGCAGCAAGGAAGUGCCUCCUUAUUACGCGCAAAAUAGUUACUCCACCUGACAGUAGGGACCCACCGGACGGGCCACGUUAUUUCACGAAAAAAACGUUUCCCCCCGACUGUUGGGACCCACCAGCUACAUCUUCGCACGGAAGGAAGUGCCUGAAAGUCAGGACCCACCUGGUCAAAGCGUACGUAGCGUUGUCAUUCUGUGUACGUACAUAUGAUCGGUCUGUCUACAGGCUGCAGCGAUGAACCGUGGCCGUGUAAGGAAGUGCAUGUGUCGUAGUAGAGGCGCACACGUAGCAUGUACACGUACGUACAACCAGGGUGCAAGAAAGUAAAUACGGCCACGUACGUACAUACGGGCGGGGUCUCGAACGCCUACUCGCGCAUACAUACGGCCAGGGCUCGUACAUGGCUGGGUCGGAACGGAGAAACUGCGUCGUCGUCGUGUUCAUGGGGAGGCAACGGAAUGCGCCGUGUUCAUCGGGAGGCAACGGAAUAUGUCGUGUUCAUCGGGAGCCAACCGGUUUGGACGGAACAGCCGAUCGAAACGAGGCCUGGCGUACCGCAAAACGGAGGAAAUGGCCUUGUGUUCGACCGGCCACGGUUGAAACGGGAUCCUGUUCAUCGGGAGGGGUCUGGCGUACCGCAAAAUGGAGGAAACGGACUUCUCUUGGACCUCCUACGGUCGAAACGAGGUCCUGUUGAUCGGGAGGGGUGUGGCGUACCACAAAACGGAGGAAACGGACUUGUGUUGGAGCGCUGCGGUCGAAACGGGGGUCAUAUUCAUCGGGAGGGGUGUGGCGUACUGCAAAACGGGACUCCACGGGAUACUGUUCAUCUCCACCGUCGACCUCCUCCAGCCUCCACGGGCUACUGUUUAUCCACCGUCGACCUCCUCCAGCCUCCACCUGCGACUGUUCAUCCACGGGCUCCUGUUCAUCCAGCCUCCACCGGCUACUGUUCAACCAGUCCUCUCCACGCGGUCCUGUUCAACCACCCCUCCCCUGGCUACUGUUCAUCCAGCCCUCCACCGGCUACUGUUCAACCAGCCCUCCACGGGGUCGUCCUGUUCAUCCAGCCCUUCACGGGGUUCUGUUCAUCCACCCCCAACCGGCUCGAUCGAUCGGGGUACUGUUCAUCCAGUGGCAACGACCUCUACUACCACGGGGUCCUGUCCAUCCACCCCCUCCCACCGGGAACUGUUCAUUCAACCCCCCAACAACGCUCACUGUUCAUCCAGAGGCAGCAUGUUCGAUCGACUUCAGUUAGCAACAGUAGCGAAGGAAUCGCUCGAUCGGGUUCAGUUAACAUCCAUCAAUCGAUCGCUCGGAUUCAGUAACGUGUAGCCUGCAGUGCAAUCGAUCGGGUUCAGUAGGCGAACGCCUCGCUCGGGUUCAGUUAGAGCCCAACGCCCCUCGCACCCACGCGCGUACGUGUACGAGAGAAACGCGCAUCGCUCGGCCCCGACCACCCACCGUAACCGGGAACUCCCCGAUAUUUUCCUCGCCCUCGCUUCUACCACGGUUUUUUCCAUCAUGGACGGCCCAAAGAAUGUCAUGCAGCUGCGUCUCCGGCCCGCCCAGGACUAAAAGCCCAUUUUCUGUCAUGAUUUUUUGUCGUAGAAGUAGGAGCCCACCACAUCUAUGAUGAUACCGGUUUUGUCACAAUUAUCAUCAUAGAAGUGUCAUAAGCAUGACAGAAAAAAAUUCGUUAGGCUCAAAAUGUCACGGAUGUGUCUUUUUUUUGUAGUGUUGCAAUUGAGAUGAGGAAAAGGUUGGACUCAUUUGCGAAUGAACGAGAACGAGCAAAUCCCCCGAUCGACUCGCCCAUCCUGCUCGCGUUGGCUAUAUUGAAGAACAAAAGAAAAUGGGGCGAGCAAAAUGAGACAGCAACAAAAUGGAUGUGAUAAAGAAGCGGCAACCAGCAAGGACAUGUCACUUGCAAUUCUACAACGUAGACCAAUAACAAUUAACAAAAAAGGUCAUGAGGAUGGCCAGGAAAAAGCAAAGCACGCUGAACAAAAAGUGGACCUAGAAAAAUAGCACAGGGCAUGAGUGACCUGAUAAACUGGCUAUCUCGACGACUCAGGCCUAGAAACAGCGCAGCGAAAUGGGCUGCCAACACUUCGCGAUAAUGGCAGACAAUAAUGAAGCCAAACUGGCCAAAAAAGAUGUGUGACAAACAAAUAGCAACCAGGAAGGCGGGGGAUCGAGCGCUUGAAUGAAAAUUACAGACACUAAAUUGAAUGGUGGUAAACUUAAAUGAGACAUAAUUUCGUAUGAGAAAAUAUUUAUGAAUUUAGAAGGUGUUUUUAUUUUUUAUAAAAAAAAUACACACAAAUCUUAUUCACAAAUUUGAAAAAAUAAAAAUAAGACAAAACAAAAAAGAAAUAAAUAAAAUAGAAACUGACACAAAAAUAGAAAAUAAAAAGGAAAAACCAGAUAGAGAUUAUAGUGAAAAGAAAGAAAUCUAAAAAGAACAAAAAAGUUGGUAAUGACGGAAAGAGAACGGAAGAUGGAAGAGAGUGAUAAUAGUGAUUUAGAGGGAAAUCGAUCAACGCUCUUAGUUUACAUGGAUUGACCGGUAGACUUUCAAAUCUUGCAAGCCAAUAAACAAACGAACAAUAUUCGCAAAAAAAAAUAAAAUAGAAAACAAGUUGAGACCAUCCUCACAGCGGAACAAAAUGAUAUCCCAGAGGAAAAACUAAAAAACUUAAUAAAACUAGGGAAACUCUAUAGAUCAUCCGGCAGAUCACAACCCCGCAUCCGUCACCUUGUCUGCACGCCACGUGCCCUAUGGCCACCACCAUUAAUUUUUGUAACUGGCCCGUUGUUGCAAUCACUCUCAUCGCAACAACCGCUCUGUUGCAGGAUCUGGAUCUUUGAUAGAAGUCGCCGCUCGUGCUCCUCCCGAGCUCUCGUUGAGUCGUCGCCUCCCCGCGCUGUUCCGACUGCCCCGAGCUCCCGUCGAGUCGUCGCCUCCCAGUGCUGCUCCGACUGCCCCGAGCUCCCAUUGAGUCGCGUGCCUCCCCGUGAGGCGACCUGGUCGGAGGUUUGAUGCUCGCGGGCGGCGGGAAUGGACGGCGCCGCUCCUCCAUAACCACCGCCCAACGGGCUAGCGGCGAACGACGGCGGAGUUUUGUUUUGCAACAUCGAAUCUGUUACAAGAAAUAUUUCUGCAACAUCAGUCAUGUUGCAAAACUUUUUUUCCGUAACACCAUAUAGAGGUGAAGACAAAGAGAGAAAAUUCUGCAACAUCACCUUAGUUGCAAAAAAAUCUGCAACAAUACCUCUGUUACAAAAAAUUGAAGAGAAAAAAAAAUCUGCAACAACCUAUGUUGCAAAAAAAAUCCUGCAACACAACAUAUGUUGCAAAAAAUCCACAACAGAAUCUCUGUUACAAAUGUUUCCGACAAAGAGAAUUGUUGCAAAGAAGAGAAAUUAGUUUAGCUGCUUGAUUUUGUCACAUCCGACCGCUCGCAAGGCGGAGGAUCCCCCAUAAAACUAAUAUGACCGCUAUAGAGAGUUUAAAGCUAAAUAAAGAAAUAUCUUCUUAGAAUGGCAAAAUAUGUUCUCUAAAAAGUAGCUUAGUCCCAUCUGGUAUAGCUUGAAGCAGGCCCGAGGGCCAGCAUAUUCAGGAGAUAAUCAGCUGACAGAGAAAAGAAAAGAGAACGGUUCAAAACAAUGACCACGACCAAGCGCACCAGCUGACAGAGAAAAGAAAAGAGAACGGUUCAAAACAAUGACCACGACGAAGCGCACUGCAGAAACGAUGUCAAUCACAAGUUGCACGAGAUUUAAAUGUGAGGUAACUAUUUUAUAAUUAGAUGUGAUUAGCUAUUCUGAAUUUAUAGAGACCCAAAGUGAAGAAACACCGGGGUAUUGUGUAGCUGUUAGAGAUUCCUAUUUGUGGAACCAUCAUCAAUUCCGAAAGCGACUUGGCAACAUAACUUGCUAGUUGAAGGCGAUGGCACAGUGCUUCCCUUCAUUACGAGUAACUAUGAUGCGACAGAUUGGGAGAAGGAUAAGAUAGACGGAUAGUAGCGCCAAUGCGGUAGCUCAACCACUCUACUAGAUCGGGACAACGCCCAACACCUUGCUCUUGUGUAACAAAGGGGUAACAAAGACUUCAUCGAUUAUUCACGUAGCAAUACAUCGUUGGUAAUAAAAAUUAAUGGAAGCAAACUCGCAAAAUAAAAAGAUACAAACAUCCACGCACGAGACGCACCACCUACCUGUUCGUGCCAAUGCGUGCACCGCAGAUCACUCGUAUAGUCGUAUCACGCACACGUACCAUAGGCACCAGCACAAACCAUGUGAACGCUGCGACGUCGAUCGAUCAC
rnacentral:lncRNA from 1 species